ensembl:lncRNA
GGGCGGGCUUAUCAGGGAUGCGGGGGCGGGCUUAUCAGGGAUGCGGGGGUGGGAGGUGCUUCCCUGAUAUGCCCUGCCCCCACAUAACCUCCCACACAUGGUGGUCUCAUUUGUUCUCUAUAUGAAAAUGAGAAAGGGUCUGAUUGUGAACUGGGAGAUUGUUGUCGUCCUCCAAACACUGUACUCUACUCGUGUGUGUGUGUAGGGGGUUCUGUGUUAAAAAAAAAAAAAAAAAAAAAAAAAAAAGUGUGUAUUCAUUUGAAGUAAUGUUUUUCUUGUACAGUAUCUCCCUUCCGCCCAGUCACGUGACUUAGUGCUUACGUCCCAAAUAACAACCUAUUCCCUAUAUAGUGCACUACCUUUGAGCAAAAGUAGAGUCGUAUGGGCCCUGAUGAAUGUAGUGCACUGUAUAGGAAAUAAGUAGCUUUUUUGGGGACCGUUCCAAGAUGUACAGAGUAAUUUAAAACACUAUACUGUAUUAGUAUGUAGUCAUUUGAAUGAUUUUUUGUUGUUCAGAUCUUUUGGUAGUUUCAUUUUGAAUAUACUGAAGUCUCAAGGACAAAGAGUUUGUUAGUUUAAAGAUAUUCCAUUUUUAUGGUGUUGGUUGGUGACAUUGUUACUGCUCCUGUGCACUAAGGUGAAACCUGUAUCUUUUCUCUCUCUCUCUCUCUCUCUCUCUCUGUCUCUCUCUCUCUCUCUGUCUCUCUCUCUCUCUGUCUCUCUCUCUCUCUCUGUAUCUCAAGUGUUUAUCUGUUUUCGUUCAGCUGUUCAUUUAACCAGCAGAAUGUCCGCUAUAGGUAGAAGACUGCUGGUAAGGCAGAGCGGUACAGUAAAACAGAAUCACACUAAUUCAAAUAAAAUAUCUAGAACAGACAUUUCAAGUCGACCGUGUUCUAUUUAUAUGAUCAGACCUGCUGCCCUGGUCUCUAAACUGAAAGGUGAUCAGACCUGCUGCCCUGGUCUCUAAACUGAAAGGUGAUCAAGACCUGCUGCCCUGGUCUCUAAACUGAAAGGUGAUCAGACCUGCUGCCCUGGUCUCUAAACUGAAAGGUGAUCAGACCUGCUGCCCUGGUCUCUAAACUGAAAGGUGAUCUGACCUGCUGCCCUGGUCUCUAAACUGAAAGGUGAUCAGACCUGCUGCCCUUGUCUCUAAACUGAAAGGUGAUCAGACCUGCUGCCCUUGUCUCUAAACUGAAAGGUGAUCAGACCUGCUGCCCUUGUCUCUAAACUGAAAGGUGGUCUGACCUGCUGCCCUUGUCUCUAAACUGAAAGGUGGUCUGACCUGCUGCCCUUGUCUCUAAACUGAAAGGUGGUCUGACCUGCUGCCCUUGUCUCUAAACUGAAAGGUGGUCUGACCUGCUGCCCUUGUCUCUAAACUGAAAGGUGAUCUGACCUGCUGCCCUUGUCUCUAAACUGAAAGGUGAUCAGACCUGCUGCCCUUGUCUCUAAACUGAAAGGUGAUCAGACCUGCUGCCCUUGUCUCUAAACUGAAAGGUGAUCAGACCUGCUCAUGGUGAAGCCAUUGUCCAGCUGACAGACCGGUAUAAUGUGUGGAUCAGCAUCUAGAUGUAUAUUCUGUCUGUUCUUAAUGCUGCGUCGGAACACUGAGGGAGGUCUCAGGUCCGCUUUUCAGUCUGUCCAAUGGGCAUAGAGAACGCAUACUGUACAUGAUAGAGAUGCCUCAUCCUCUAACGUGAUAUUGAGAGUGAGCUGACGAUAUGAAGCGCGUCGGGAAUAGACAUUUUACAGGGAUGAUCACCUUUUUAAUUCAGCAACUUUGACUUGAAGGUCAAUUCCACUCCCAAAAUGAUAUUUUUGUGUAUAUUUGUUUCAUUCGUCCACUGUUGAUACAGCCCCCCAAAAAAUGUUUUGCAGUGCAGCAAUCCAGUUUUCAAGAUAUAGAACUUUGAAAACGCUAAUUGUCACUUGUCACCAUCAAUCAGCCUACUGUAUAAUUACACUGAAAUAUUUAGUAUUUAUACAAAAGUUUAACUUGAACAUAAUGUCACAUGCUUCAUAACUAACAGGGGUAGAUUUAAGUAAGCAUUUCACUGUCGGUCUACACGUAUUGUUUACAAAAGCAUGUGACAUGACAUUUGAUUUGAACCCUACAGCCAUCUGGUUACAGAUGGUCUCUUUUGUGUGUUCAUGGUUAAUGUCAAAUGUAGAGAGAGAAGGACAUUUGUUUAAUUUUUACGGUGUACUUUCGAUGUGACCAGCAGAGCGUGCCAGUGUUAGUCAGGGUCGUCUUUAUUGGUGACAACGGCACAACUUUUAUACACACCAUAUCUAUCUGUAGUCUUUGCCUUAAACUUUUCAAAGAACAGUCACCAACCAACAUACACUUGAUACAUGUAAAUAAAGGUAGCCAUAUACUGUA